AUGAGCACCUGGCCAUACUUAUGUAUUCUGAUAUCAUUUUUUGGUGGCGAUAAAAAGUCAGGGUUGGGCCUUCCCUGGGGGACUAGUUGUUUCCACUCUCAGUCAUCCUGGGAAGAGUCAGCUCCUAGGACAAGGCAGAGAUUAUAGACAGGUUUUCAAGGACAUAAUACUUUGAGAAGAAGAUAAGCAUAUGAGCAGUGAUUAUUAAAACAAAUAAUUAUAAGAAAAAAACAGAACUGAGUUAUCAUUAUUUUCAUCACAAGUUUAGCUGCCUAAGCAGGUUUAGCCUGCAAUCCUAUGAACCAGUUCCACAGAAGGGAAACACACAACCCUUAUCAAAGACCCACACAACUAAAAAGCAACUGUUUCAUCCUGCAAAAUAAUUUCCAAGAUGAUAGAAACUAUGCCAAGAAGAAAUGGACUAAGGUCAAGGAUAGAGGAAUGAGCAAAAGAGCUCAGGAAAAAAAGCAGUGGUUAUAUUGGCUUUACUCCUCUCAAAAUGUUUGAUGGAAAAGACCAACUCUCCAUGGACAGUCAAGUAUUUAUACUGAUGCUGCUGGAGGCUCUUUGAGGUUAUAGUAGGUUAUUACUGACCAGCUCAGGGAACUAAUUUGCAGGGACAGGCCUAUGUCUGCGUCUUCUCUAGUCAUAACUCCCUCCUACUGCUCAUAGGAUCCAUUAGGGGCCUGUGCAAGGCAAUGGAUUUCUACACUCCCAUCAUCAGAAUGCGGAGUUUUCUCCCCAUGCCUCUUAGGGAAUUUUGUUUUAUGACAUCAUUUGAUUUUCAGUGUCCCAUCUCCACUGAUUUCCCAGGCAAAUAAACCUACUAAAGCUCAUUAGAAAACCAACACUUCACGCAGUUACAAAAACCACCGCUAUUUAUAGGGCAUAUGCUCUUAGGUGUUACUAGGUAAUAUUAGGUAUUAUUCUACCACCACUGGAUAGAUCUUAAUUAUUGCCAAGUAUACAAUAAUAAAAUUGCUGCCAAGUGUUAUCCUUUUGUCUGAAGCUAAUGGAUGUGCCUCCACUUCGUCUACUCUCAGCAGCUGUGACCAUCAUCUAAAUGAAUAUAAGAAUUGAAUUAACGUGCAACUGAAGAAACUAUCCCUGUGUUAGUUGGGACCCACAGAAAAUAGAAGGCAUGCUCUGAUGGGGUUUCUGAAGAGACUGUAAUGAAAGAAAUUUUUGCAGAGGCUUGGGUGUGAUCAAGGAAACCUACAGGCAAAGCUGAGGAUUCCAAGGAUAGUACCAGAGCAAGUCAUUACCACCCUGAGAGCUGAGCCCUGACAGAGUGAGGGAAGAUGCAUGUCAUUGGAUCCUGGGAGAGCUGAAAGAGAAAAGCAAAAGUAAAACACAGAGAAUGUUCUCAAAUUUUCAUAGUUGGAGAGGAAUUCCAGCAAGAGUUGCAUUUCUGCUAGAGGUGUAUUGUGAAGGUGUGGAAAUACAAGUUAAUGAAAGGGAUAAAACAAAUGUUCUGGGAAAGACGAAGUUACAAUAAAUGGAAAAGGGGGCUUCAUAUUAACACUCUGGCCCCACAGCCAUGAACUAGGAUGGCAACCACCACUACUUACGGUCGAGAGGAGGCCUCACAUUAUAGAAGUUGAUGUUCUUGGCAAAUGCCCAGCUUUCUGAGAAGAUAAUGAUCUGGACAACAGCUAUAGCGAGAGCGUGACAGAGGAGGAGCAUGCUGACCUUGUGUGCUGGGCGGUCCGAACUCUUAUAUCUAUGGUGAAAAGACACACUGGUUCAGUUUCUUUAUAUUUUACAUCAGUGGGUUUGUGUUUUGCUUCUGUUUGGAAAGCUCCAUUAUCCAAAUAUAUCCAACCAUCUACCUGUUGUGUAGGGCCAGGACCUGCGAGUAAAUUGCAUUGUUUUUGAUCAAAUGAAAGGUAAGUAAUGACCUCCUUCUACUGGUCAGGCCUCUGCACUAGCCAGGUGGGCUUUAGCAGAACACUCGAUGGCCUUUUGAGUUCAGGAAGGACAAGCAGGCAGAGCUGGCCUGGCUGCACCCCAUUCCCUCAGUGACUGCGGCUAGCUGGUUUCCUCUGUGCUGAAUCACUGGAUUUCUUAAGUCAACCGUGGUUCUGAGGCAUGUUGAGCCAAAGUCACUGGACCACCUAUCUGUCAGUUCCAUUCCUUGAAUCAACAUUUGCAUUUGAUAAAUUUUGCAACUCUUUCAAAACCUAGAAGAAUCAAUAAAAGUGGGAGCAGUGAGAAGGAGAGCAGGGGAAAGGACAAGGAGUCUGAGAAAUAAAAUCUCUGCCAGAUCCUAGAGCACACCGACAUUGAGAAGAGAGACAAGAGUCGUUGUGAACUGCCAGCCCCUCCUGUUUCUGUCACCCUGAGCACAAGAAGCUGCCAGGAGGCUCUAGAGGAAACAGAAUAAAAGUUGUCUGAAAAGCU